rnacentral:lncRNA from 1 species
AGAGCAGAAGGUGGACAGACUGGUUUAGUAAACCAGGAAACCUGUUGGUGUGAAACAAACAGCUGCUGGCCAGAAACGCGUCAUCAUUUUGAAUCAUGAAGUUUCCUGUGCUGCUGCUCUGCUCUGUGCUGCUGCUCUCCAUCUCAGGUCUGUCUCUUUUUAAAGGUUUAUUUAUCACAUGUUUAAGCUAAAGAGUCAAAACUCUUUACUGGCCGAAGUACCAACUUGUAAAACUCCAAACUGAUUGAACCUCAAACUGACCACAGUUACUCUGCUGUCACUGUGAUGAUUAAUCUUGGAACAGAGCUCAGAUUAAAUCUGUGUUUACCAUAUAAGAAUCACAGAAGUAGGCCAGUGGAAAAAACUUUUUUGGACUGUAGGAUUCAUUAAGGGAAUUAUUCAUUCAUGGACAUGUUGAUUUAUGAUGAAUAGAGUGUAAACACAGAUUAGUGUGUUUAUUUUUGUUUGCUUUAACAUGUUUUUUGUUUUUUACAGACAGACUGUGACAUUAAUGUGUUAACUAUGAACUGUUUCUGACUAUGAUCUAAGUAUGCAUUACUGGACUCCUUUAAUCAGGACUGAAAUUCUAUCUUUAUAAGGGAACAGGCUGUGAGACGAAAUAGUUCCUCUUUCACAGGUUGUCAACCUCACUUCAGGUCCUUUUUACAGAGACAGGAAAGAUGCAGAGUGAUGAUCUGCUGGGUCACAUUUCUGAGCCAAACACUGUGACAUCUUCCCAUUGUUCUCUAACGAAUGUGUUUGUGUGUCUUCAGAGAUACAGGCUGAUAUUAGAUUAUUUUUUAAUCCAGUUUUCUCAUAGAGGAGGCUGUGGUUUUUUCUCUCAGUCCAUGUGACUGUUUUACAGCAAUAAAACAUAGCUUUAAGCUCCACCACAGUGAGCAAUAAUCAUUGGAGGACAGUAAAGAAUUGUAAUAAGUCUCCUCAAAGAAUAAUACUCCAGCGAAUACUCAAAAAUGGACUUGGCCAUGACCUACAUUAACACACAACAGGUGGAUAUUUUUUCCCACCUUAUUGUUCACAGCUUGUAACCUUAGAGCCUUGCUUCUCUUCACACACCUGACUGUUGUCUACUGUAUUAUUUAGAAAAUUUAAAAAAAUUAGACAGGUCCCUUUUAAAGCUUUAAAUUCCUUCUCUGACAGAAAAGCCACACCUGCCACAUUCAUCUACAGAUUAUGACUGAGAUAGGAGUCACUCUCUGUUCAAUUGAAUCUCAUGUGUAAUGUGUGUACGUGCGUGUGUCUGUGUGUGUGUGUGUGUGUGUGUGUGUGUGUGUGUGUGUGUGUGUGUGUGUGUGUGUGUGUGUGUGUGUGUGUGUGUAGUCCUGUCUCAGGAAAAUGAGGGUCCACCUGAUGGACAAGGAGACUCUGCUAAACCCAAGGCGGUAAGACUCAGAAACACACACAUUAACACACUAAUACUCAUGCAGAGCUCGGAGGAGUGGUGUGUUUCCGUUGAUGUUAAGUUGUAAACAUGAUUUCGUCACUUCUAAACCUUCUGGGGUGAAUUUACCAAGAACAGAGUGGAGUUGCCUUUUUUACCAUGAGUUGUGCAUCAUUUGCCUUUGCUCUGAGCUCCAUCUCCACCACUCAUGUACAUUUGUGCAGAAAUUAAAGGCUACAAAUUUAUUGAUGAGAUGUGUGUGUGUGUUUUUGCGUGUGUGUGUGCGUGUGUGUUUUAUCCAGGCCCAUUGUGAGAAAUACAACUUACCUAUCUGCAAUCGGGAUCUUAACCCUGUUUGCGGUGAUGAUGGCGUAACCUACAGUAACGAGUGUACACUCUGUGUUCACAACUUGUAAGAUGUGCACACACACACACACACACACACACACACACACACACACACACACACACACACACACACACACACACACACACACAAAUCUGCUCUUUCAAUCCUUUGUGAGACUUUGUGAGAUUCUGGAUACAUGAUUUUGGCCAGUAUGCAGUAUGUCUCCAGAAAAUAAAAAGAGGCUGAGAGAGGAACCCUGAAGAACACCAUACUGAGGUUUAUCAGAGAGACAGAAAAACUCCUGUCAGAGAUAUAUUUACAGUCUAUAGCUCCCACACUCUGAUUUCUCAAAGACUAUUUUUAUAAUUAUCGUAUUAACUCCACACACACACACACACACACAUUUCAAAUGUAAAAACUAACUUCUUGAAUAUUCUGGGUUUUUUCUUUGUUUGUUUUUCUACAGGGAGAAGAAGGACAAUGUGAAAAUCCUGAAAAAAAGGAACUGUAGCGAUUAACUGCUGUGUGCCACACGCAUGCACACACAUACUGAAUAAAGUCUCAUACUGAUUCCCUCACA